ACCCAACUGACGAGUCCCGAAUAGGACAAUAAGCGCGUCCUGGAU
rfam:Schistosoma haematobium scaffold972_15, whole genome shotgun sequence.